rnacentral:rRNA from 1 species
ACGCCUGCCCAGUGAACCAUUAAACGGCCGCGGUAUCCUAACCGUGCAAAGGUAGCGCAAUCAUUUGUCUAUUAAUUGUAGACCUGUAUGAAAGGCAAAAUGAAAAUCUGACUGUCUCUUAUAAUUUAUCAAUUAAACUGAUCUUCUAGUCCAAAAGCUAGAAUAAUAACAUAAGACCAGAAGACCCUGUGAAGCUUUAACUAAACCAUUAAAUCAACUAAUGACUACUUUCGGUUGGGGCGACCUUGGAAUAAAACAAAACUUCCAAAAAAUCUAUGCGAGAACGCACUACUUCAGGCUGACAGGCCAUUAUGACCCAGUAAAUCUGAUAAAUGAACCAAGUUACUCCAGGGAUAACAGCGCUAUCCUCUUCAAGAGCCCAUAUCAAAAAGAGGGUUUACGACCUCGAUGUUGGAUCAGGACAUCCUGGUGGUGCAGCCGCUACCAACGGUUCGUUUGUUCAACGAUUAAUAGUCCUACGUGAUCUGA